ensembl:ncRNA F56E3.19 ncRNA
CGGCUAUUCUCUCCUCCCUUCCCGCGCCACUUUAUUCUCGUCGGAGAGCACUAGAAGCUGGCAAUCUCCAUAAAAUAAUUCGGAGGCAAUUUUGCCGAGACAUAUCACUUGUCACAUCGCAUAUGCUUCU